rnacentral:tRNA from 1 species
GGAGAGAUGGCCGAGUGGCUUAAGGCGCACGCUUGGAAAGCGUGUAUACGUAAAAUGUAUCAUGGGUUCGAAUCCCAUUCUCUCCG